UUGUACUUGAUAGCAUAUAUACUAAAAUGGGAAUGACAGAGAAAGCUAGCAUGACUUCUGCCUGAGGAUGACACAUAAAUUUGUGAAUAAUUCCAUAUACCU